CGGGAUGGACAUACCUCUGGUGUACCAGUUGUCGUGCCAACGGCAUAGCUGGGUAGCUAUGUAUGGACGGGAUAAGUGCUGAAAGCAUCUAAGCAUGAAGCCCCCCUCAAGAUGAGAUUUCCCAACUUCGGUUAUAAGAUCCCUCAAAGAUGAUGAGGUUAAUAGGUUCGAGGUGGAAGCGUAGCGAUACGUGGAGCUGACGAAUACUAAUCGAUCGAAGACUUAAUCAAUUU
rnacentral:rRNA from 1 species